rnacentral:rRNA from 1 species
UGCGUAGGCGGAUCAGUAAGUCAGUGGUGAAAUCUCUCGGCUCAACCGGGAAACUGCCAUUGAUACUGUUGAUCUUGAGUUCGGUUGAGGUAGGCGGAAUGUGUAAUGUAGCGGUGAAAUGCUUAGAUAUUACACAGAACACCAAUUGCGUAGGCAGCUUACUAGACCGACACUGACGCUGAGGCACGAAAGCGUGGGGAGCGAACAGGAUUAGAUACCCUGGUAGUCC